rnacentral:rRNA from 1 species
UCGAGCGGUACAGGGGUAAUUUAUUACCUGCUGACGAGCGGCGGACGGCUGAGUAACGCGUGGGAACGUACCCCAAAGUGAGGAAUAACUGCCCGAAAGGGUGGCUAAUGCCGCAUAUGAUCUUCGGAUUAAAGGAUUUAUCCGCUUUGGGAACGGCCUGCGUAUGAUUAGAUAGUUGGUGAGGUAAAGGCUCACCAAGUCUACGAUCAUUAACUGGUCUGAGAGGAUGACCAGUCAGACUGGAACUGAGAUACGGUCCAGACUCCUACGGGAGGCAGCAGUGAGGAAUCUUCCACAAUGGGCGAAAGCCUGAUGGAGCGACGCCGCGUGCAGGAUGAAGGCCUUCGGGUUGUAAACUGCUUUUAAAAGUGAAGAAUAUGACGGUAGCUUUUGAAUAAGCACCGGCUAACUACGUGCCAGCAGCCGCGGUCAUACGUAGGGUGCAAGCAUUAUCCGGAGUGACUGGGCGUAAAGAGUUGCGUAGGUGGUUUGUUAAGUGAAUGGUGAAAUCUAGUGGCUCAACCACUAGACUAUUAUUCAAACUGACAAACUCGAGAAUAGCAGAGGUAACUGGAAUUUCUAGUGUAGGAGUGAAAUCCGUAGAUAUUAGAAGGAACACCAAUGGCGUAGGCAGGUUACUGGGCUAUUUCUGACACUGAGGCACGAAAGCGUGGGGAGCGAACCGGAUUAGAUACCCGGGUAGUCCACGCCGUANACGAUGGAUACUAGCUGUUGGAGGNAUCGACCCCUUCAGUA